rnacentral:rRNA from 1 species
AACGAACGCUGGCGGCAGGCCUAACACAUGCAAGUCGAACGCUGUAGCAAUACAGAGUGGCAGACGGGUGAGUAACACGUGGGAACGUACCCUUCGGUUCGGAAUAACUCAGGGAAACUUGAGCUAAUACCGGAUACGUCCGAGAGGAGAAAGAUUUAUCGCCGAAGGAUCGGCCCGCGUCUGAUUAGCUUGUUGGUGAGGUAACGGCUCACCAAGGCGACGAUCAGUAGCUGGUCUGAGAGGAUGAUCAGCCACAUUGGGACUGAGACACGGCCCAAACUCCUACGGGAGGCAGCAGUGGGGAAUAUUGGACAAUGGGCGCAAGCCUGAUCCAGCCAUGCCGCGUGAGUGAUGAAGGCCCGUAGGGUUGUAAAGCUCUUUACUCGGGAAGAUAAUGACGGUACCGAGAGAAUAAGACCCGGCUAACUUCGUGCCAGCAGCCGCGGUAAAGUCUAGCAU